rnacentral:tRNA from 1 species
GGCUUUAUAGUUUAAAUAGAAUUUUGAAUUGCAAAUUCAAAGGUAUAUUAGUUAUUAAAGCUU